rnacentral:rRNA from 1 species
UACGUAGGGUGCGAGCGUUAAUCGGAAUUACUGGGCGUAAAGCGUGCGCAGGCGGUUAUUUAAGUCAGGUGUGAAAGCCCUGGGCUUAACCUAGGAAUUGCGCUUGAGACUGGAUAGCUUGGAGUGCGGCAGAGGGAGGUGGAAUUCCACGUGUAGCAGUGAAAUGCGUAGAGAUGUGGAGGAACACCGAUGGCGAAGGCAGCCUCCGGGGCCAGCACUGACGCUCAUGCACGAAAGCGUGGGGAGCAAACAGG